GCGUUUUGAUUAAUAAAAUCAGCUUGACUCUUAAUCAGGGUGUCCAGGGUUCGAAUCCCUGAAGGUGUACCA
rnacentral:tRNA from 1 species